rnacentral:rRNA from 1 species
UGGGGGAUAUUGCACAAUGGGCGAAAGCCUGAUGCAGCGACGCCGCGUGGAGGAUGAAGGCUUUCGAGUUGUAAACUCCUGUUAAGUGGGAAGAAAUACUUUAGGUUAAUACCCUAGGGGGAUGACGGUACCACUAGAGAAAGCACCGGCCAACUUCGUGCCAGCAGCCGCGGUAAUACGAAGGGUGCAAGCGUUAUUCGGAGUUACUGGGCGAAAAGAGCGUGUAGGCGGUUUGCGAAGUUAGUUGUUAAAUGCCAGGGCUUAACGGUGGACGUUCAACGGAUACUGGCGUGCUAGAGUAUAGAAGAGGGAAGUGGAAUUCCCGGAGUAGCGGUAAAAUGCGUAGAUCUCGGGAGGAACACCGGUUGCGAAGGCGGCUUCUUGGGCUAUUACUGACGCUAAAGUGCGAAAGCGUGGGGAGCAAACA